GGGUGUACAAAUGUAUAUUAUAUUAUGGAGAAAUAACGCAGGCUUAAAAUUACGAGAGAGCAGUAUGUUCAGUUACAUUUUAUAUUGUAGAUGUAUACAUUUGUAAUAUACUAUUAACAUAAUAAGGUACACUUUAACUUCACGCAUUGGAUAAACCAAUUAACUGUGUUUUAUCACAAAAUAACCAUGGUUUUGCUAAUACACCAAAAAAAACAUGGUUACUAAACUUUUAACACAAAAAAAAAACAUUCAUUUUCGUAAGGGGAAUAUGAGUGUUUGUUUUUUGUAGUUUUUGAGUCAAUUGCAUACCGCUUUUAGCUGUACACAUUAAUUAACUUAAACAGUUUUCGUAAAUGCAUUUCAGAGAAAAGUGAAUUCUGAGAUUUAAAUAAUGCAUCUGACGUGUGUGAUGACGUCACGACGCACGUAUUUUGAUUUUUACCAGUCGUUCGAGACAGACGGAUUCAGUCCCAAGAAGCUAAAGUUUUUCAAAGACAUUUGUAGGGAGGACUUUGCAGCUAAUGAUUUCCUAAGGCUGAACCAAAACCUGCCAGACUAAAGUUGAUUUGGGAGAGAAAGACAUUGUAAACUUAAUCAUCUUGACAUUCUUCAAUGAGUAAUUGUUCAAUUUUUAGGCAAAUACUGUACACUUUGAAUGCUGUGAAUAAAACUAUAUUUUAAAUAUAUUUAAAA